rnacentral:misc_RNA from 1 species
AAGUCGUAACAAGGUCUCCGUUGGUGAACCAGCGGAGGGAUCAUUACAGAGUGUAAAAACUCCCAAAACCCAUGUGAACAUACCUUUUUGUUGCUUCGGCGGGAUCGCCCCGGGCGCCUUGUGUGCCCCGGAGUCAGGCGCCCGCCGGGGGACCCAAACUCUUGUAUUUCUUUAGUAUCUUCUGAGUAAACAAGCAAAUAAAUUAAAACUUUCAACAACGGAUCUCUUGGUUCUG